rnacentral:rRNA from 1 species
ACGAACGCUGGCGGCGCGCCUAACACAUGCAAGUCGAACGAGAGAUGAAGAGCUUGCUCUUCAGAUCGAGUGGCGAACGGGUGAGUAACCGCGUGAGGAAACCUGCCUCAAAGAGGGGGACAACAGUUGGAAACGACUGCUAAUACCGCAUAAGCCCACGGCUCGGCAUCGAGCAGAGGGAAAAGGAGUGAUCCGCUUUGAGAUGGCCUCGCGUCCGAUUAGCUAGUUGGUGAGGUAACGGCCCACCAAGGCGACGAUCGGUAGCCGGACUGAGAGGUUGAACGGCCACAUUGGGACUGAGACACGGCCCAGACUCCUACGGGAGGCAGCAGUGGGGAAUAUUGCACAAUGGGGGGAACCCUGAUGCAGCGACGCCGCGUGGAGGAAGAAGGUCUUCGGAUUGUAAACUCCUGUUGUUGAGGAAGAUAAUGACGGUACUCAACAAGGAAGUGACGGCUAACUACGUG